rnacentral:lncRNA from 1 species
AAAGCACUUGUAGCUUUUGGACCCUUUGGUUGGCUUUUGGCUUUUACAAAAGCAAAAGCAGGUUCAAAAGCCCAACCAAAGGGACCUUAAAUGUCGAUGAUGGCUAUCCAUAAACCUACUCUAGAUUGGAAUGGUACAAGCGCUUCACAACUCUCAUAAGCAGUUGUCGAAAAAGAUCAAGUCCGAGGAUCCGGUCAUGGCAUCAUAUCAUCAAACAAAUCACGUCGAUAACAGGAGGUGAGACAGUUUUAAAAUGAUUCUUAGGCGAGUCUCCGUGGCCCGUUUUAAUGCACUGUUUCCAAAACAAAUCCGC